UACGUAGGGGGCUAGCGUUGUCCGGAAUCAUUGGGCGUAAAGAGCGUGUAGGCGGCCCGGUAAGUCCGCUGUGAAAGUCGGGGGCUCAACCCUCGAAUGCCGGUGGAUACUGUCGGGCUAGAGUGCGGAAGAGGCGAGUGGAAUUCCUGGUGUAGCGGUGAAAUGCGCAGAUAUCAGGAGGAACACCGAUUGCGAAGGCAGCUCGCUGGGACGUCACUGACGCUGAGACGCGAAAGCGUGGAGAGCAAACAGG
rnacentral:rRNA from 1 species